CCUACGGGAGGCAGCAGUGAGGAAUAUUGGUCAAUGGACGAGAGUCUGAACCAGCCAAGUAGCGUGAAGGAUGACUGCCCUAUGGGUUGUAAACUUCUUUUAUAUGGGAAUAAAAUGUUCCACGUGUGGGAUUUUGUAUGUACCAUAUGAAUAAGGAUCGGCUAACUCCGUGCCAGCAGCCGCGGUAAUACGGAGGAUCCGAGCGUUAUCCGGAUUUAUUGGGUUUAAAGGGAGCGUAGGUGGAUUGUUAAGUCAGUUGUGAAAGUUUGCGGCUCAACCGUAGAAUUGCAGUUGAAACUGGCAGUCUUGAGUACAGUAGAGGUGGGCGGAAUUCGUGGUGUAGCGGUGAAAUGCUUAGAUAUCACGAAGAACUCCGAUUGCGAAGGCAGUUCACUGGACUGCAACUGACACUGAGGCUCGAAAGUGUGGGUAUCAAACAGGAUUAGAUACCCCUGUAGUC
rnacentral:rRNA from 1 species